GACGAACGCUGGCGGCGUGCUUAACACAUGCAAGUCGUACGGUAAGGCCCUGUCGGGGGGGCGCGAGUGGCGAACGGGUGGGUAAGACAUGCGUAAGCUGCCCACAACUUAGGGAGAACGCUCGGAAACUGGUUCGGACUCAUGCUAUAUACUCGCGCCUCAUGGAGGGGGGUGGAAAGCUCGGGCGGGUGUGGAUGGACGCGCGGCCGGUCAGCUUGUUGGUGGGGUAGGUGGCUACCAAGGCGGCGGAGGGUAGGCGGCCCGGGAGGGUGAGCGGCCAACAUGGGGCUGAGAAAAGGGCCAGGAUCCCACGGGAGGCAGGAGGGGGGGAUUUUGCACAAUGGGCGCGAGCCUGAUGCAGCAAAGCCGCGUGCGGGAUGACGGGCUUCGGGUUGUAAAACGCUUUCAGCCGGGAAGGAGCUUUUUGUGACGGUAACUGCAGAAGAAGCACCGGCUAACUACGUG
rnacentral:rRNA from 1 species